CCAUAUCAAUUCAUCACAAACACAAACAGGCAUUAACAAUAAUACAAGAGAGUGAAAGAAGAAGGAAGAAAAAUGUCAUCAUCAGAGUGCAAAGGUAAGAGUUCAUGGCCCGAGCUAGUUGGAGUGCAAGGGACAGUUGCAGAGGCAACUAUCGAGAGGGAGAAUUCUUAUGUUGAUGCUGUGAUUGUACCAGAAGGAUCAUCUGUCAUAUUGGACUUCCGCUGCGACAGGGUUUGGGUUUGGGUUGAUAAAAAUGGCAUUGUUUAUAGGGUCCCUACCAUUGGUUAGAGGCCAUUCCUACUCAAAUGAAUAAGGAGUUCCUAUUAUCCAUGCGUGGCAUUGUGUUGGAAACUAAAUAAGAGAUCGUAUUCUUCGUGAUGUAACUUUUAAGUAUAUUCAAAGUUAAAUAAUAUACAAGUUAUUCGUUACCUUUGGUAA